ensembl:lncRNA
CUUAACUGACCAGAAUGUAGUCUUGUGAUGUUUAUAUUCACAGACUCAAAAUAAUGAAAAACUCUGAGUCCUCUUUGCUGGGCAAGAGGUGAAGAAGAGAAAUGGGAGAGGGCUAAGUAAUGUUUUAAGAGAAUAAUAUAAACUGACUGCUGUAAAAAUACUGCGCCAUGAAAUUGUCCAUUAUGGCCUUCUUCAUGUUGAUAUGGGAUAUUCGUUGAAGAGGAAACACCAAGAGGGCAGACAGCUGCAGGCCAAGGAACUGAAUCCAUCUGGAAAGCUGCAGGAGACAGUACAGGAAGGGCAAAGGACCUGGCAACCUUGGAGAAGGUUGAGUUCUGACUGUUCAGGAGAGCGAAUAGAGAGUUGGGAGGGGAAGGUAAUGCUGUAACCCGUGAAUACUGGGAAUGUUUGCCAGGUGCCCUACAAUGUGGUCAUCCCAGUUUGCUGUCUCUUCAAAAUACUUCAGUAAAUGCA